rnacentral:lncRNA from 1 species
CACCUCAGGAUCUUACACUCUUUCCUCUCUCUCUUCCACAGUGAUUGGUGAGCCUUGGAAAGAGAGGGUGCAGCAACUGUGUCCUGCACAGGGAUGAGCAUUCUGAGGACAGAGCUGAACUAACAAAAGGAAAAGAAUGAGCCAACCAAUGUUUGAGGAAGAGAGAGAAAGGCGAAGCCAACACUGCAGAUGAUGUGUGUGAGUGAAGGUCACCCUCCAGUUACCCAACAGCACAAAGUGGAUGACUCCACCUUUCCAUGUGACGUUUUUCAGCAUGACUUUGGAAGUCCUCUUGGCUGGAAGAGAGCUGGACAGACUAUAUGCAGAGAUCCAUCACAGGCUGGCUCAGGUGACGCCAACAUGAGUUCUUCAGUUAGAUAAUGGAAGCAAGGCUAAAGAGUGGACAAGUUCUCAACUGCAGAGAAGGGAUACACCAUGAUCUUCACAGACAGAACUAAUAUCCUUGUCUGGCUUUUUAGCCCAUUUCUCAAUGCAAAUGAAAGGAUUUUUUUUUAAUAAUAAAUAGAAGAAACGUCAUGGAGCAAAUGGCACAUUAGGGAUCAACUCAGACAAGACUGAUCUAUCACUUAUCAAAUGCACCAACAGUUAAAAGAACCCAAAUGUAUGUAUUCAAUAGGAACUCAUUCCUGACCAUAUUUAUGGUGAAGAUGGUACUUGUGUUGUGGGGGUUACAC